AUUGAACGCUGGCGGCAGGCCUAACACAUGCAAGUCUAACGGUAACAGGAAGAAGCUUGCUUCUUUGCUGACGAGUGGCGGACGGGUGAGUAAUGUCUGGGAAACUGCCUGAUGGAGGGGGAUAACUACUGGAAACGGUAGCUAAUACCGCAUAACGUCGCAAGACCAAAGAGGGGGACCUUCGGGCCUCUUGCCAUCGGAUGUGCCCAGAUGGGAUUAGCUAGUAGGUGGGGUAACGGCUCACCUAGGCGACGAUCCCUAGCUGGUCUGAGAGGAUGACCAGCCACACUGGAACUGAGAUACGGUCCAGACUCCUACGGGAGGCAGCAGUGGGGAAUAUUGCACAAUGGGCGCAAGCCUGAUGCAGCCAUGCCGCGUGUAUGAAGAAGGCCUUCGGGUUGUAAAGUACUUUCAGCGGGGAGGAAGGGAGUAAAGUUAAUACCUUUGCUCAUUGACGUUACCCGCAGAAGAAGCACCGGCUAACUCCGUG
rnacentral:rRNA from 1 species